GGUUUAUAGAUGCUGCUGAUUUAAGCUGAAUUCAACCCUGAACCAUGAUGUCCAGGCAGGAAUAUUUCACCAGACUGAAAGAGUGGGUCCUUCAAAAUGUCUGAUGGCCAAGAACACAGGGAGUACUAUGCAUCAUGAUGAGAUUUACAGGAAAAUGAGAUCUCAGUGCACGUACCAGCUGGAAAAACCUAAACCGCUCUGAAGAACUGCCAUAACAAGUACCCUUAAAAUGCAAGCUCUCGGUGAGACAUGGAAUUGCUAGCUUCUGAACAAGCUGACAAAUCAGAACCACAGAAUAUCCUGAUGUGGCAAGGACCCACAAGGAUCGUUGAGUCCAACAUCUGGCCCUGCACAGAACACUCCAAGAGUCACAUUGUGUGCCUGAGAGCACUGUUCAAAUGCUUCUUGAACUCUGUCAGGUUUGGUGCUGUGAUCGUUUCCCUUGGGAGCCUGUUCCAGUGCCCAACGACCCCAUGGGUGAAGAACCUUUUUCUGAUAUCCAGCCUAAACCUGCCCUUACACAGCUUCAGGCCACUCCCUGAGGUCCUGCCCCUGGUCACCAGAGAGGAGAUCAGUGUCUGCCCCUCCUCUUCCUCUCAGGAGGAAGCUGUAACUGCAGUGAGGUCUCCCCUCAGUCUCGUCUUCUCCAUGCCGA